rnacentral:rRNA from 1 species
AUGUUCCUGGUGGGGAUAGUGGCGGAGCUGCUGGAGGACUACACGAUGCUGCUGGCGGAGGUGCUGGAGCAGCUGCUCAACGGCGCGCCGUUCCCCCGCCGGAUGCGCACGCUCAUGCUGCGGAGCCUCCCCUUCGUGGCCCCGCCGCUCGCGCCGCCGCCGCCGCCGCACGCUCUCCGCGUCACCACCCGAGGCUGA